rnacentral:rRNA from 1 species
CCUACGGGCGGCAGCAGUGGGGAAUAUUGGGCAAUGGAGGAAACUCUGACCCAGCAACGCCGCGUGAAUGAUGAAGGUCUUCGGAUUGUAAAGUUCUUUUCUAAGGGAAGAAGAAAGUGACGGUACCUUAGGAAUAAGCCUCGGCUAACUACGUGCCAGCAGCCGCGGUAAUACGUAGGAGGCGAGCGUUAUCCGGAAUGACUGGGCGUAAAGGGUGCGUAGGUGGUUUGGCAAGUUAGUAGCGUAACUCCAAGGCUCAACCUCGGCACUACUACCAAAACUGUUGGACUUGAGUGCAGGAGGGGCAAAUGGAAUUCCUAGUGUAGCGGUGGAAUGCGUAGAUAUUAGGAGGAACACCAGUGGCGAAGGCGAUUUGCUGGACUGUAACUGACACUGAGGCACGAAAGCGUGGGGAGCAAACAGGAUUAGAUACCCUUGUAGUC